rnacentral:rRNA from 1 species
UAAGGAAUCUUCCACAAUGGGCGCAAGCCUGAUGGAGCAACACCGCGUGAGUGAAGAAGGGUUUCGGCUCGUAAAGCUCUGUUGUUAAAGAAGAACACGUAUGAGAGUAACUGUUCAUACGUUGACGGUAUUUAACCAGAAAGUCACGGCUAACUACGUGCCAG